rnacentral:rRNA from 1 species
CCUACGGGUGGCAGCAGUGAGGAAUAUUGGUCAAUGGCCGGAAGGCUGAACCAGCCAUGCCGCGUGAAGGUCAGUGCCCUAUGGGCGUUAAACUUCUUUUGUGCGGGAGUAAUAAUGGUCACGUGUGGCCAGACGAGAGUACCGUACGAAUAAGCAUCGGCUAACUCCGUGCCAGCAGCCGCGGUAAUACGGGGGAUGCAAGCGUUAUCCGGAUUUAUGGGGUGUAAAGGGUGCGUAGGCUGUGAGGUAAGUCAGCGGUGAAAGGCCCCCGCUCAACGGGGUGAAGUGCCAUUGAUACUGCCUUGCGGGAAUGCGGAUGCGGUGGGAGGAAUGUGUGGUGUAGCGGUGAAAUGCAGAGAGAUCACACAGAACACCGAUUGCGAAGGCAUCUCACGAAUCCGCGAUUGACGCUGAUGCACGAAAGCGUGGGUAUAAAACAGGAUUAGAUACCCCGGUAGUC